rnacentral:rRNA from 1 species
UACGUAGGGCGCAAGCGUUGUCCGGAAUUAUUGGGCGUAAAGAGCUCGUAGGCGGCUUGUCGCGUCGGUUGUGAAAGCCCGGGGCUUAACCCCGGGUCUGCAGUCGAUACGGGCAGGCUAGAGUGCGGUAGGGGAGACUGGAAUUCCUGGUGUAGCGGUGAAAUGCGCAGAUAUCAGGAGGAACACCGGUGGCGAAGGCGGCCCACUGGUCCGGUACUGACGCUGAGGUGCGAAAGCGUGGGGAGCAAACAGG